rnacentral:rRNA from 1 species
GAGAUAGAGGAGUGCCUUCGGGAAUUCAGUGACAGGUGCUGCAUGGCUGUCGUCAGCUCGUGUCGUGAGAUGUUGGGUUAAGUCCCGUAACGAGCGCAACCCUUGUCCUUAGUUGCUAGCAGGUUAUGCUGAGAACUCUAAGGAGACUGCCGGUGACAAACCGGAGGAAGGUAGGGACGACGUCAAGUCAUCAUGGCCCUUACGACCUGGGCUACACACGUGCUACAAUGGCCGGUACAAAGGGCUGCAAUCCCGCGAGGGGGAGCGAAUCCCAGAAAACCGGUCGUAGUCCGGAUUGGAGUCUGCAACUCGACUCCAUGAAGUCGGAAUCGCUAGUAAUCGUAGAUCAGAAUGCUACGGUGAAUACGUUCCCGGGCCUUGUACACACCGCCCGUCACACCAUGGGAGUGGGUUGCUCCAGAAGUGGCUAGUCUAACCUUCGGGAGGACGGUCACCACGGAGUGAUUCAUGACUGGGGUGAAGUCGUAACAAGGUAACCGUA